CCUGGGGCUCAUCAGAUUGGGAUCUGAAUGCCUAGAAAUCUUUUCCUCUAAGCAUAUCACUUUCAUCUUAGGGGAACUAAGUAUAAGGGCCAGAUACAGGCAUGGGCGAACCAGUCGGUCACCCGGGGUCUAACAAGAAAGUGGCCCGAAAAUGAUCUCUGGCUGUUGUCCUAGUGAUGUGCCAAGCGUCCAUGGGGAAGCUGGCUGUUGCUGACCCCGGGGAUGCAGUACCAACAAUUGCACGCAUCCUGUGGGUAUUAUCCUCACAACUGUGAGGUCACAGUCCGUUCCGAUUAUCUCAUUGCAUUUCAAGGGAAACGUGAGGUUGAGUUCACAAGUUUUACCUCCUCCUUGGUGGCAUCCCUCCAAAAUGGAAAAUUGCUACAGUGAAUAUUUAGCACCUUUUCAUCUAAAAAGAGUAAAAUAUCCAUGGCUGC